UUCAGACCCGUGGCAGACGGCUGCGUAACACGUUGGUACAUCCCCCGAACUCAGGGAUAUCCCGCCGAAAGGCGGAGUAAUACCGGAUGCCCUCGCAAGAGGAAAGAUUUUUCGGUUCGGGAGUGGCCUGCGGCCUAUCAGGUAGUUGGUAAGGUAACGGCUUACCAAGCCUAUGACGGGUAGCUGAUUUGAGAGAAUGAUCAGCCAGAAUGGAACUGAGACACGGUCCAUACUCCUACGGGAGGCAGCAGUGAGGAAUCUUCCGCAAUGGGCGAAAGCCUGACGGAGCGACACCGCGUGAAGGAUGAAGGGAUUUUUUCCCGUAAACUUCUGUUGUGAGGGACGAAAUUUUUGACGGUACCUCACGAGAAAGCAUCGGCUAACCCUGUGCCAGCAGCCGCGGUAAGACAGGGGAUGCAAGCGUUACUCGGAAUUACUGGGCGUAAAGCGUCUGCAGGUUUUCUGUUAAGUCUGGUGUGAAAUGGCGAAGCUCAACUUCGUCAGUGUGCCGGAAACUGGCAGGAUCGAGUCAUUCAGAGGCAUCUGGAAUGUCGUGUGUAGGGGUAAAAUCCGUAGAUCCACGAUGGAACGCCAAAAGCGAAGGCAGGAUGCUGGGAAUGUACUGACACUCAGAGACGAAAGCGUGGGGAGCAAAGGGGAUUAGAUACCCCCGUAGUCCACGCCCUAAACGAUGCGGGCUCGGUGUAGGAAUUUUCAAUUGUUCCUGUGCCCAAGCUAACGCGGUAAGCCCGCCGCCUGUGAAGUACGGCCGCAAGGCUAAAACAUAAAGGAAUAGACGGGGACCCACACAAGCGGUGGAACAU
rnacentral:rRNA from 1 species